UAGUACGUGGUCGUAGACCCGAAACCGUGUGAUCUACCCAUGUCCAGGGUGAAGUUCAGGUAACACUGAAUGGAGGCCCGAACCCACGCACGUUGAAAAGUGCGGGGAUGAGGUGUGGGUAGGGGUGAAAUGCCAAUCGAACUCGGAAAUAGCUGGUUCUCCCCGAAAUAGCUUUAGGGCUAGCCUCGAGGGAAGAGUAUUGGAGGUAGAGCACUGAUUGGACUAGGGGUCCCCACAGGAUUACCGAAUUCAGUCAAACUCCGAAUGCCAAAUACUUAUCCUCGGGAGUCAGACUGCGAGUGCUAAGAUCCGUAGUCAAGAGGGAAACAGCCCAGACCAUCAGCUAAGGUCCCAAAGUAUACGUUAAGUGGAAAAGGAUGUGGAGUUGCCCAGACAACCAGGAUGUUGGCUUAGAAGCAGCCACCAUUUAAAGAGUGCGUAAUAGCUCACUGGUCGAGUGACUCUGCGCCGAAAAUGUACCGGGGCUAAACGUAUCACCGAAGCUAUGGAUCCGGAGGUCAGGUAUCAGAGGCCAGAAGUCGGAAAGAAGGUAAUUCAAAGAUGAUAAAUAGUUAUCGAGAGUUGAGAGUAUAUCAAAUAUCUUAUCAACUUGCGUUACAAGUUCAUCAAUUGACAUUAACAUUUCCAGACUUCGAGAAGUAUGAACUUGGAAGCCAGUUAAGAAGAGCAGCUAUUUCUAUUCCUUUAAAUAUUGCAGAGGGAUAUGGGAAGAAAAGCUCUCUAAUUGAUUUCAAACGUUAUUUACUUAUGGCUCAAGGUUCCAAAGAUGAAACAAAAGUUAUUCUUGAAAUGUCGAAAGAUUUGGGUUACAUCGAGGAGAAGACUUUUGAAGAUUUAUUUGGCCAAUAUGACCAACUUGGAAAACAGCUUUAUUCUAUGAUUCAGAAAUGGACAUAAGAGAUAAAAUCUGAUUUCUGGUUUCUGACACCUGACCUCUGUGAUGGUAGGGGAGCGUUCUAAGUGCAGUGAAGUCAGAUCGAGAGGACUGGUGGAGCGCUUAGAAGUGAGAAUGCCGGUAUGAGUAGCGAAAAGAGGGGUGAGAAUCCCCUCCGUCGAAAGCCCAAGGUUUCCUGAGGAAGGCUCGUCCGCUCAGGGUCAGUCGGGACCUAAGCCGAGGCCGAAAGGCGUAGGCGAUGGACAACAGGUUGAAAUUCCUGUACCACCUCCUCACCGUUUGAGUAAUGGGGGGACGCAGAAAGGUAGGGUAAGCGCGCUGAUGGAUAUGCGCGUCCAAGCAGUUAGGCUGGAAAGUAGGCAAAUCCGCUUUCCGUUAAGGCUGAGCUGUGAUGGCGAGGGAAAUUAUAGUACCGAAGUUCCUGAUCCUACACUGCCUAGAAAAGCCUCUAGCGAGGUGAGAGGUGCCCGUACCGCAAACCGACACAGGUAGGCGAGAAGAGAAUUCUAAGACGCUCGGGAGAACUCUCGUUAA
rnacentral:rRNA from 1 species